rnacentral:misc_RNA from 1 species
UGACUCCCAUUGUCCUCAAAGAGUGAUUCACCAACUGCUAUGAAUCCAUUUGCCUUGACAGAUUCAGGAAGGCCCUCUGGGAUACUUGCUGGCUCGGAGUUUUUGAUAGUUGCUGCUUCAGAAAUACCCUCCUCUCGAAGCAGUUCCAUGCGCUUUAAAGAUGGCACAUCACCUUUACAAUAUCUAUGCCACAUGUCCCGGUAUAUGGACUCUAAACCAAGUGCAAAGCUUGCUCCAUCACAGACGGGAGACUUAGACAUAAGAUCUCUGAGACUCAUUCUCAAGUUUGAGAGAGC